rnacentral:rRNA from 1 species
AAGGAACAAAGGGCGCACAGUGGAUGCCUAGGCACUAAGAGACGAAGAAGGACGCAACUAACAGCGAAAUGCUUUGGGGAGAUGUAAGUAAUCGACGAUCCAGAGGUAUCCGAAUGGGGCAACCCACCACAUGGAAGAUGUGGUACUUCGAAAGAAGGGUGAGACGCAGGGAACUGAAAUAUCUAAGUACCUGCAGGAAAAGAAAGUAAAAACGAUUCUGCUAGUAGUGACGAGCGAACGCGGAGGAGCCAGAUACCAUAAUAGUUACAAAACUGCUAUAUAGACGAACGGUGUGGGAAAGCCGAUCAGAGAAGGUGAGAAUCCUGUAGUUGAAAUGUAGCAGACUAGGGUAUCAGAAAGUAGGGCGGGACACGAGAAAUCCCGUUUGAAGAUGCGAGGACCAUCUCGUAAGGCUAAAUACUACUUAGUGACCGAUAGUGAACCAG